rnacentral:rRNA from 1 species
AGUCGUAACAAGGUUUCCGUAGGUGAACCUGCGGAAGGAUCAUUAGUGAAUCUAGGACGUCCAACUUAACUUGGAGUCCGAACUCUCACUUUCUAACCCUGUGCAUCUGUUUUAAAAUUGGCUAGUAGCUCUUCGGAGCGAACCACCAUUUUUCACUUAUACAAACACAAAGUCUAUGAAUGUAAACAAAUUUAUAACAAAACAAAACUUUCAACAACGGAUCUCUUGGCUCUCGCAUCGAUGAAGAACGCAGCGAAAUGCGAUACGUAAUGUGAAUUGCAGAAUUCAGUGAAUCAUCGAAUCUUUGAACGCACCUUGCGCUCCUUGGUAUUCCGAGGAGCAUGCCUGUUUGAGUGUCAUGAAAUCUUCAACCCACCUCUUUCUUAGUGAAUCUGGUGGUGCUUGGUUUCUGAGCGCUGCUCUGCUUCGGCUUAGCUCGUUCGUAAUGCAUUAGCAUCCGCAACCGAAACUUCGGAUUGACUUGGCGUAAUAGACUAUUCGCUGAGGAUUCCAGACUUGUUCUGGAGCCGAGUUGGGUUAAAGGAGGCUUCUAAUCCUAAAGUCUAUUUUUUGAUUAGAUCUCAAAUCAGGUAGGACUACCCGCUGAACUUAAGCAUAUCAUAAAAGUCG